rnacentral:rRNA from 1 species
AGACGGAGGGCGCAAGCGUUGUACGGAAUUACUGGGCGUAAAGGGCAGGUAGGUGGCCCGUUAAGUCUUCUGUGAAAAUCCGGAGCUCAACUCCGUGAAAUGCAGGAGAAACUGGCAGGCUUGAGACCGGUAGAGGCUAGCGGAAUUCCUGGUGUAGCGGUGGAAUGCGUAGAUAUCAGGAAGAACACCUGUGGCGAAGGCGGCUAGCUGGGCCGGUUCUGACACUAAACUGCGAAAGCGUGGGGAGCAAACAGGAGUAGAAACCCCAGUAGUCC